CAUCCCUUGAGACAUUCUCAUGGUGCAAAAGCCAGGCUCCAGAAGUUGCUCAGCUAGGUGAGCCAUCACACCAGAAUGAGGUGGAGAGGGAAAAUGUAAUUAACUGAGAUAGAGGAGGUUUUGGUUGGAUAUGAGGAGGAAGUUUUUCACCCAGAGGGUGGUGACGCACUGAACAGGUUGCCCAAGGAGGUUGUGGAUGCCCCAUCCCUGGAGGCAUUCAAGGCCAGGCUGGAUGUGGCUCUGGGCAGCCUGGCCUGCUGGUUUGCGAUCCUGCACAUAGCAUGGGGUUGGAACUGGAUGGUCACUGUGGUCCUUUUCAACCCAGGCCAUUCUGAUUCUAUGAAGAGAAAAUACAUGUUUUCACCGUUCUAUGAUUCUAAGUCAUAGAACCAUAGAAUGGCUGCGCCUCCAUGGCUGAGAUCUGCCAGUCUGGAUCCCUUUCUCUCCUCUUUCUAACACUCUGCAAAGAAAACAUUACAUCUCCU
rnacentral:lncRNA from 1 species